AACGAACGCUGGCGGCAUGCCUAAUACAUGCAAGUCGAACGAACACUUCGGUGUUAGUGGCGCACGGGUGCGUAACGCGUGGGAAUCUGCCCUUGGGGUCGGAAUAACUUCGGGAAACUGAAGCUAAUACCGGAUGAUGACGUAAGUCCAAAGAUUUAUCGCCCAGGGAUGAGCCCGCGUAGGAUUAGGUAGUUGGUGAGGUAAAGGCUCACCAAGCCUACGCUCCUUAGCUGGUCUGAGAGGAUGAUCAGCCACACUGGGACUGGGACACGGCCCAGACUCCUACGGGAGGCAGCAGUAGGGAAUAUUGGACAAUGGGGGCAACCCUGAUCCAGCAAUGCCGCGUGAGCGAUGAAGGCCUUAGGGUUGUAAAGCUCUUUUACCCGAGAUGAUAAUGACAGUAUCGGGAGAAUAAGCCCCGGCUAACUCCGUGCCAGCCGCCGCUGUAA
rnacentral:rRNA from 1 species